UUAUAUUCUCCACAGGGGGGGAUGAGAAUCCCCGACCGGGGUUCGACAACUGGCGCAGCCAGUUGGACAGACCGCGCACGCAGUAAGCGGGCUGCCCCGCAGGGGCGAGCGAAGCGAGUCAAUCCCCCCCCCUCACCG
rnacentral:sRNA from 1 species